AGCGAACGCUGGCGGCAGGCCUAAUACAUGCAAGUCGAGCGGUUCCUUCGGGAACAGCGGCGGACGGGUGAGUAACGCGUGGGAACGUGCCCUUUGGUACGGAACAACUGAGGGAAACUUCAGCUAAUACCGUAUGUGCCCUUCGGGGGAAAGAUUUAUCGCCAUUGGAGCGGCCCGCGUUGGAUUAGGUAGUUGGUGGGGUAAAGGCCCACCAAGCCGACGAUCCAUAGCUGGUCUGAGAGGAUGAUCAGCCACACUGGGACUGAGACACGGCCCAGACUCCUACGGGAGGCAGCAGUAGGGAAUCUUGCGCAAUGGGCGAAAGCCUGACGCAGCCAUGCCGCGUGAAUGAUGAAGGUCUUAGGAUUGUAAAAUUCUUUCACCGGGGACGAUAAUGACGGUACCCGGAGAAGAAGCCCCGGCUAACUUCGUGCCAGCCGCCGCAGUAACAC
rnacentral:rRNA from 1 species